AUUGAACGCUGGCGGCAUGCCUAACACAUGCAAGUCGAACGGCAGCACAGCAGUAGCAAUACUGUGGGUGGCGAGUGGCGGACGGGUGAGGAAUACGUCGGAAUCUGCCCAGUCGUGGGGGAUAACUAGCCGAAAGGUUAGCUAAUACCGCAUACGACCGAGAGGUGAAAGCGGGGGACCGCAAGGCCUCGCGCGAUUGGAUGAGCCGACGUCGGAUUAGCUAGUUGGCGGGUAAAGGCCCACCAAGGCGACGAUCCGUAGCUGGUCUGAGAGGAUGAUCAGCCACACUGGAACUGAGACACGGUCCAGACUCCUACGGGAGGCAGCAGUGGGGAAUAUUGGACAAUGGGCGCAAGCCUGAUCCAGCAAUGCCGCGUGUGUGAAGAAGGCCUUC
rnacentral:rRNA from 1 species